rnacentral:rRNA from 2 species
UCGGAAUCGAUAACCGCUGAAAGCAUCUAAGCGGGAAGCGAGCCCUGAGAUGAGUCAUCCCUGACCCCUUGAGGGUCCUAAAGGGCCGUUGGAGACCACAACGUUGAUAGGUGGGGUGUGUAAGCGCAGUGAUGUGUUGAGCUAACCCAUACUAAUUACCCGUGAGGCUUAACCAU